rnacentral:rRNA from 1 species
AGAGCUAACGCAGGGAACUGAAACAUCUUAGUACCUGCAGGAAGAGAAAAUAAAUGAAUGAUUCCCCUAGUAGUGGCGAGCGAACGGGGAACAGCCCAAACCGUUGACGUCGCAAGGCGCCAGCGGGGUUGUAGGACCGCGACAUUGUAUGCAAAUCGUGAACAGAACACUUUGGAAAAUGUGACCAUAGACGGUGAUAGUCCAGUAUGUGAAGCGAAAUGCAGCAUAGCGGUAUCCUGAGUAACGCGGGACACGAGGAAUCCUGCGCGAAUCUGCCGGGACCAUCCGGUAAGGCUAAAUACUCCCGUGAGACCGAUAGCGAACGAGUACUGUGAAGGAAAGGUGAAAAGAACCCCGAGCAGGGGAGUGAAAUAGUUCCUGAAACCAUACGCCUACAAGCGGUCGGAGCAUCGCAAGAUGUGACGGCGUGCCUUUUGCAUAAUGAUCCUACGAGUUACCGUCACUGGCGAGGUUGAGUGUCAUGAGACACGUAGCCGCAGUGAAAGCGAGCCUGAAGAGGGCGCACAGUCAGUGGGGGUAGACGCGAAACCAAGUGAUCUACACUUGGCCAGGAUGAAGUCCCGGUAACACGGGAUGGAGGUCCGCACCAAUAAGCGUUGAAAAGCUUCUGGAUGAGCCGAGUGUAGGAGUGAAAGGCCAAUCAAACUUGGAGAUAGCUCGUACUCCCCGAAAGGCAUUUAGGUGCCGCGUCGGAUGGUCACCGUGAGAGGUAGAGCGACCGAUAGGACAAGAGGGCUUCACCGCCUAUCGAGUCCUGACGAACUCCGAAUGCUCACGGUCUGCAGUCCGGCAGUAAGGGGGCGGGUGCUAAGGUCCGUCCCCGAGAGGAGAAGAAUCCAGACCGCCGUCUAAGGUCCCGGAGUUCUGCCUGAGUUAGUCUAACGAAGUCUGGUCCCUAUGACAGCUAGGAUGUUGGCUUGGAAGCAGCCAUUCAUUCAAAGAGUGCGUAACAGCUCACUAGUCGAGGGUCCGGGCAUGGAUAAUAAUCGGGUAUAAGGCAGACACCGAAGGCGCGGGAUAGCAUUUAAGAAAGUAUCGGUAGGGGAGCAUACUCACAGCGUCGAAUGGUGUACGUAAGUUAUCCUGGAGCGGUGAGUAAAGCAAAUGUAGGAAUAAGUAACGAUAAGGAGGGUUAGAUUCCCUCCCGCUGUAAGACCAAGGUUUCCCGGGCAAUGCCAAUCAGCCCGGGGUCAGUCGGGUCCUAAGUCUAAGCCGAACGGCGAUGGCGAUGGCAGAGACGGUUAAUAUUCCGUCACUGCCGCAUGGGGCGACGUGGAGACGGAGCAGUGAAACCACCGCGGGGCGACGGAAGUCCCCGUUGAAGAGUGUAGGUGUUGAGGAUGGCAGGCAAAUCCACCGUCCGAGCUGAACUUGAUAGUAUGGAGUCUUCUUCGGAAGAAUCCAAUAGUGUGGGUAAUCAUACUCCCGAGAAAAUCCGCUAAGCUUAACCCAUGCGGCACCCGUACCGCAAACGGACACACGUGGUCGGGUAGAACAUACUAAGGCGUUGAGAGAUUCAUGGUUAAGGAACUAGGCAAAUUGACCCUGUAACUUCGGGAUAAAGGGUCCUCGUGAUGAGCGAGGCGCAGAGAAUAGGUCCAGGCAACUGUUUAACAAAAACACAGGGCUGUGCAAACUCGAAAGAUGACGUAUACAGCCUGACACCUGCCCGGUGCCGGAAGGUUAAGAGGAGAUGUCACCAGCAAUGGGAAGCAUUGAAUUGAAGCCCCGGUAAACGGCGGCCGUAACUAUAACGGUCCUAAGGUAGCGAAAUUCCUUGUCGGGU